GUUCCUGUAGAGCAAUGGACAGCGCGUUGAACUUCUAAUACAAAGGUCGUGGGUUUGAAUCCUACGUGGGAUU
rnacentral:tRNA from 1 species